GCUGACGUCAUCGCAUGCGACAUUGCACCCCGGUUCUUCUUUGAUCUCAUCAACUCACAAAUAUAUUUCUGCUCCUUCAUAGCUCCCACAAAAGGCACUUGUAAGAGCCACGUCUGUCAAAUCUGUUUGUCAUCUUUGUGUCCUUAGUCUGUUGUUCUUCAUUUAAUCUGUCAACUGUUUUGUUGGUUUGUUUGUUUGUCUGUUUGUCCAUCUGUCACCAUGAGUGUCUCAAACAUCCCUGAUCCAAUAAUGGCCCUGGAUCAUGAGAUACGUCAGCAAAAAUUAAAUUUCCAGCUUCAACAACUUGAUGACUUGAUUGCUGAUCUGAAGAAAAAUGUACCUAAGCGUCAAGCACCUAAGCAGAGACCUAAACCCACAGUAAGGUGGAGAAAAAGGGACAAAGAUGGAAACGUAAUAUAUGAGAGGCCAAGAUCAAAAAGAAAUCAAUUAUCUAAGACUCCCCACAGUGAGAAGACCAGCCGUCCCUCUCAUCUCUCUAACAUUCAGUGUGAAGUUGCCUUUGCUCCAGAGACUGUUGUGUAAAGCUCACCUCCGGGCUUGGUGCAAGCUCCCAGCAGGUUGACCACAUUCAGGUGGUUUCCGAUGUGGAUCAGGAUCUUUAACUCCGACAUCAGAGCUUUAC